rfam:Triticum aestivum genome assembly, contig: Triticum_aestivum_CS42_TGACv1_scaffold_198733_3AL
UGUGUACUCCCUCCUUUCCAAAAUACUUGACUUCCAUUUGUCCAAAAAUGUAUGUACCUAUAUACUAAAACAUGUCUAGAUACAUAUAUAUUUUGACAAAUAGAAGGCAUGUAUUGUGCAAUGGAGGGACUAGAAU